UACAGAGGGUGCAAGCGUUGUUCGGAAUUAUUGGGCCUAAAGCAUCCGUAGCCGGUUCUACAAGUCUUCCGUUAAAUCCAACUGCUUAACAGGUGGGCUGCGGAAGAUACUAUAGAGCUAGGAGGCGGGAGAGGCAAGCGGUACUCGAUGGGUAGGGGUAAAAUCCGUUGAUCCAUUGAAGACCACCAGUGGCGAAGGCGGCUUGCCAGAACGCGCUCGACGGUGAGGGAUGAAAGCUGGGGGAGCAAUCCGG
rnacentral:rRNA from 1 species